AGGACGAACGCUGGCGGCGUGCGUAACACAUGCAAGUCGAACGAGUGUAGCAAUACACGAGUGGCGGACGGGUGAGGAACACGUGGCUACCAACCUGGCACUGGGGAAUACCCGUGAGAAAUCAUGGUUAAUACCGCAUACGCCCGCAAGGGGAAAGUCGCAAGACGGUGCGAGACGGGGCUGCGCCCGAUUAGCUAGUUGGUGGGGUAAUGGCCUACCAAGGCGUCGAUCGGUAACU
rnacentral:rRNA from 1 species